AGGCCUCAUGCCCAGGUAUAUCGCAUCUCUGUAGUCAGCCGAGAUGUGAUGAAGGGAUGAAUAACUGAGACCAGAUCUCCACCCACCAGGAUGGGAUGGAGUUUCCUAGCCAACUGGAAACAAUAGACCAUAUUUAGGGACAGGGAAGAGGCUUCUCCAGGACUGAGGCCUCUCACCACUUCCACAACAGCCUCAGACACAGGGUGCCUUCUAGAGAUGACCUGCAACCUGAAUGAAGGAAACCUUUGCUAAUAACGAAGGAGCAGGAGUUGGACUUUAAGAAGAUUGUGCUGUGCAGCUCUGAGCGUACCGGGUAUAAACUCCUGGCACACGGAUAAAGCCACAUGAAUUUUACAUGUGACAGAGCAAGUUACA